AGGACGAACGCUGGCGGCGUGCUUAACACAUGCAAGUCGAACGGAAAGGCCCUUCGGGGUACUCGAGUGGCGAACGGGUGAGUAACACGUGAGCAAUCUGCCCCUAGCUCUGGGAUAGCUCCGGGAAACCGGGAUUAAUACCAGAUAUUACUACGGCCGACAUCAGCUGUGGUGGAAAGAAUUUCGGCUAGGGAUGAGCUCGCGGCCUAUCAGCUUGUUGGUGGGGUAAAGGCCCACCAAGGCGACGACGGGUAGCCGGCCUGAGAGGGCGACCGGCCACACUGGGACUGAGACACGGCCCAGACUCCUACGGGAGGCAGCAGUGGGGAAUAUUGCGCAAUGGGCGAAAGCCUGACGCAGCGACGCCGCGUGCGGGAUGAAGGCCUGGUGUAACGCUUCAGCAGGGACGAAGCGAAGUGACGGUACCUGCAGAAGAAGCGCCGGCUAACUACGUGCCAGCAGCCGCGGUAA
rnacentral:rRNA from 1 species